rnacentral:sRNA from 1 species
GAGGAGAAAAGCUCCAAAUAAAAAAGACUGUGUCAUUCCAUCUCUAUAUCAGGUCUGUACAGUUCCUGUUGCUGCCAGGGUGGGCCCUGCCAGGCUGUUAGAAUUGGGUAUCCGAAUGCUCUCCUGGCCUGUAAAUCGAACCUCAUACAAUAAGCCACACUCCACUGUGGGUUUGAGGUCCAUAUUCAGGUGUAGAUGACUCACGUGUACCAGUCUCCCACGGUAGGCCUUAGAAAACAUCCCUUGCUUCUGUCACAUCUGACUGUUUUGGAGCCCCACGAAAUUGCAGAUUUCCCACAGGUGAGUUUUAACAGCCACCCCUGUUUUUCAGCACCGCUCCGUGUGGAGAUGGCGCCCUCUUUGACAAGUCCUGCAGCGACCGUGCUAUGGAAAGCACAGAGUCCCGCCACUACCCUGUCUUCGAGAAUCCCAAACAAGGAAAGCUCCGCACCAAGGUGGAGAACGGAGAAGGCACGAUCCCUGUGGAAUCCAGUGACAUUGUGCCUACGUGGGAUGGCAUUCGGCUCGGGGAGAGACUCCGUACCAUGUCUUGUAGUGACAAAAUCCUACGCUGGAAUGUGCUGGGCCUGCAAGGGGCACUGUUGACCCACUUCCUGCAGCCCAUUUAUCUCAAAUCUGUCACAUUGGGUAAGGGGCCUGCCUUGGGAUCUGGAACUGGUCUGUCCUUCUUGUGCCCAAAUCCCAAACUGCAUGCUUUAUUGCCAGGUGUCUUGUCUCCCCUAUCAAAAUGAGCAUGGUUCACUCCUCAGUAAUUGAUUGAGUGUCCAGUCUGCUGUGGUAGGAAGAUCCUAGUAGCCCCAGUCAGAAGGUGCUUC